AAUCAAAAGGAAGGAAGGAAAUGCUAUAAAAUAGGGUAGGUUUGGGGAACACAGGUGAACCAACAGCAUAAAAUAAAAGGGGGAAGGUGACUAGAACACCUCAAGGACCAGAUGGGGCCCCAGAAGCCAUCACCGAACAGGACAAUCACAGACAUUCUCUGUGGGCAAGUUAUUCCAACAGCUACCAAUGAGCUAGAGAGUUUGCCGGACACAGAACACUGUCCCGGUGUCUUUAGAGAAGAAGUUUAUGGUCUCAAUCCCAGGGGCAAAAAGGAUGGAAGACAGAUUCAAAGUCUUUUGAAGCAAAAAAGAUGGACAGAAAGUUCCUAUCAGUAGCAUCUCUCUGUAGAACACAAGCCCUUCAAAACAGCUCAUGCAGGUCAAUUGUAUUUUACAGGUUCAAUUGUUCUCUCUCUCUCUCUCUCUCUCUCUCUCUCUCUCUCUCUCUCUCUCUCUCUUUCUCUCUUGUUCUGAAUUGCAAACAAGGAAGGUUCAUCCAGCUGCCACAGUAUUGAGAUCAGAAUACAAAUACUACUCCCUAUGUGGGUUUCCCAGCAUGCACAGCCUUCCCCUCCUGACACAGCCACCUGCAUGACAAGGAGCAUAUGCAUGCUGCUACUCAGCUCUCUGCUGAAGAGACCCAGUAGAGAGGAUCCUUUCAGGCCCCAAAGCAUCCCCAGCAGGAGUUAUAGCCAAGCAUGAGUGUUUACACCCAGGUGGGAGACAACGGAAGGGGCCUCAAUGCCUGAGUCAGGCUCCCUGUCUUCUCUCAUGUGGUGACAUCUGUUUUUGCUGUUUCGUGAGCCAGAAUGUUCUUCUGCACUGCCCACAGAAGGCUAACUCCCCCUUCCUCUCAGGUCACUUCCUUGGGGAAGCCUGUCCUGGCCUAGAUAUGCGUGUUGUGUCGUUUCAUAGCUCACAUAACUAUUGCUAUUUAAAUGUUUCUGGGAUUGAAAGGCCCGAGAUCUGUGAGAGCUCUCAGUUGUUGGCUGCUAAGUGUUUCCUCUCUGCCUUGUAGGACCGGCUGAGGUGGGGCAGGGGAGCAGAGGCGCCAGUCAUUCAGUUGUGAAAUGAACUGUUUUCUCCUUAAACCCACAUUCAGAAAGCUCCCCUCAGCAUGAUGGUUCUUGAAGCUAGGACCUUGCUAGGUAUGUGUGUGCUGGUAAUCAGUGCUAGAAAACUAUGCUGGAGGUGCUCGGCUUCCCCACAGGAAAAGAAGACACACAUCUGCACUGGCUGCCAGGUUCCCUUAGCUUCAGGGCUGUGUGCUGGAACCACUCACGCUCACAAAAAGUAAAGCUGCAUGCACGGCCUCCUAGGCAAGGCUUGCACACUCCAUAUGGCUACCACAACACACAGACAUGCUGCCCCUCAAGGAAAGACGAACAAAACCAGCCCUAUGUUCUUGCUUCACCAUAGCAAAAGCUGUGCACACAAACCCGGCUCAUCGCUCUUCUCCAUUUUGGGAUGAAGCCACAUAAAGUUGAAAAUGAGGCUUCUAUUCUAGAGUCUCCAUUAACUGCUUUCAAGCUAAUACUUGCUCAUGGUGGCAACGCAUGCCCCGGAUGGAGUCAUAAUGAGCACUCGUGAUUCCUGAUCCGAUUGAAGCCCCAUUAUGCCUCAGCUUUGCGGCAGGCAGAUGUCACAAGCUCAUUUGCUUUGGAAGAUGACACUAAUUUGUUCAAAGUGGAAAACCGGCUCCCAAGACUUUCAUCGAGUUAUACAGCGAAAGCAAGGCCAGGAUUCAGACAGUACUUUAUCAAGAGCAAGGAUUAUUAUUCUUUAACCAGAAAAAACCUACAAGGGCUGAAUAGCAUCUGACAUUCACAUCAAAUGGCCUCACAGGAACCUGGUUGCUCUGUCCUUGACAUCGGGACCAGGUAUAGACUAGGAAGAAGAACUGCUGUGACAACAGAUGCUGACCAGGUUGUUUGGAAGUGGCUGAUAGCUUCUGUGUCUCCAGUGUGAUUUGCCCUCUAUUCCUUCAUAAAGGCAAGCUUGUGCUUCCUUCAGGAAUUGGUGCAGAAGCCGGAGGCAACAGAAGGAAGAGGGGGCAGUUGAUGGAUGAAUUCUGAGAAGGAGAUUCCACCUGAACAGAUUGGCUAAGUGUCUUGACAGAAGGGAAUCUGACUCUUGGCUCCACUACCAACUGCAUGAGGCUUCAGCCCCUCAGUUUCUUUAGUUUACAAAGAAGGCUACAUCUUUCCUGGCCUGGAAGUAAAACGAGGGUGUCUAUGCAGUCUUGGUGAACUGUGAAGAGAUGCUCACAGGGAUGGCUCUCUGGCAUCCUUCCGGUGAGUUUUCUUGCUCCCUCCAUUACUUUCCUGCUUCCUGAGUCUCUUCUUGAGCGGUAUGACUGUAGUUUAAAUGUUAGGCCAGGGAGCCCAGGAAAUCUAGUUCCCAGCAAGAAUUACAAACCUUCACCUCCUAAGUGAGAGACUACGUGAGCAGUGACUCAGAGCAGCGGGAGGAGCAGCCAGCCCAGACAGAAGGCUUUGAAGAGUCUUCAGGCCCAAGAGUGCCUUCUCCAAUGGGUGUGUGUCAGGGAGCUGGAACAAGACCAAUCUAAGCUGUGGUUUGUCUCAGAGAGAAAUUUUGGAGACUGGAUUAUUAUUGGGUGGCUGGUUAACAUCAGUUAACUAGACAAGGCACUCAGAUGGCGGCACUUAAGAUCUCAGCAACAACAACAAUAAAACAUUGAAGGUAUUACAGUAAAAGGAGGCUGCUGUCCUGCAAAUGAACUCAUAGGAAAUCAGAUUUUCUGAACUUGAUACUACUGAUCACAAGAGGCAGUUUUCGGAGCUCUGUAAACUUCCACAUGGAUGGGCUUGUCCUUGUGAGAAGAGACCAAGAAACUCCAGAAAUCUACAAACAGCAACAGAAAGGAACGUGUGGCCUCUCGGGACUCACCCCUACCAUCACAGACUUUCCCUAACAUUUCUCUUUUAACUCUGACUCCAGGAAAGAGAUCUGGAAGCUGAGCAGUCCCGUGCCAGACUCUGCCCUCCUGAGUUAUAAACAUUGGAUUAUUACGAUGCGUUUCCUGCAUGUGUCUUCCAUGUGGCUCAGGCCUCCUGUUUCCUGUGAGAUGCUCCCUUCUCACAUAGCUCUCCUGUCAUUCAGCUAAAACAGACCAAGGAGCUGCAAAAUUCCAGUUCUUUCCUUCAUUUGGCUUAAAAUCCCCCCAAAGACUUUAUUCCCUUGUUGGGUUUCUUUUCAGUUUCUUACCUCUACCACGCUGUAAGAUCUGCCAAGGUGGGAGGUAUCUGUUUUCUGUGAAGUGAUACUGGAGGGAGGUGGCCAGGACAUUCUGCUGGUGGCCGAGGUCACCUCCUUCACUGAAUGCAUGUUCUAAUGGCACUGGGGCGGGGCUCACAAAAGGGGGACUGGAAUGUUUUCUUUCCUUUUUAUGAUCCAUUUCAAUUCAUCCCAUUCUGAGAUCUCCCACCCCAGCCGUCUCUAAGCCCUCACUUCUUAGGGAAAGCACACAGAAUGUCCGUUUUCCUUUGCCUGUGGGAGUCUGUUCUGAGAGUCAAUUAAUUUCAGUAUAAAUGAGUCUGGGGCUCAGUCUUUGGUUACUGUGUCAGGGCUUCCUACUCCUGCAGCUUGAUGCUGCUUGGACACACAAAUUGUUAACUUUACAAGUUUGCAAUCACAAUCUUCUCUCUCUUGAGUCUCAUAUGAAACCCAUUUCCUUGGGAAUUGACCGAUGACCUCUGCCCUCUCGCCUCAAUUGCUUAAAGGCCCCUCACUCUCUUUUUCCUUGGCCUUCAACUCCAGAUACUAGAAGGUGAGCUGAACUUCAAAGGGCAGCCAGCCAGAUGUCUUCCUUUCCUUCCUCCCCCUGUGAGGGACCGGCUUCCUCUCUUUUGUCUGAGCUCUGGGUAUGAUUUCAGGUAUUCCUACUUCUGUGUCCCAGGCUGUCCACAGUGUGGUGCCCAGAUGCCUGGGCCGGAGACUCUAACUGGUGUGAUUUGCUUCAGGGACUUGACAACACUCCUUGUUAUUUGUGAUGUUCUAAUGUGAAUAUGGGUGUGCGCGUGCACAUGUACAUGUGUGGAGGUGUGUGUGUCCUCUAUCAACAGCAGCAGGUCUGUGCUGUCCAAAACAGCAGCCUCAAGCCAUAGCUAGCAACUAAGCUGUUAGAGCCCUUGAACUAGAGUAUAGAUUAUUUCAAUAAAUUUUACACAAUCUAGAAAUAUGAAUCAUUUGAUAGAAUGCUUGCUUAUUAUUGUAUUGCCAUUAUUGUAUGGGUUCAGCCCUAACAACAUAUCUGAUGUGACGUCACAUGCUUAUAAUCCCAGCAUUAUGGAAACAGGUAGGAGAAUCAGGAUCUCAAAGUCAUUUUUGGGCAGCCUGGGCUACAUGACACUCUGUUUCAAAGGGGGAAAAUCAAGCAAAAUUUUAUGUGAUCACAUGUUAUAAUAAUACUUCUGAUGUAUUAGAUUUUGGAUGGGUAGGUAAAACUGUUAAUUUCACCUCUUUCUGCUUGUUUUCAAACUAUCCCUUCUGGAAUAUGUGGAAUUGUCUCUUCUGUUUUUAAAGAGUAUUUUUUUAAUUUAUUCUUUGGCGACUUCCCAUGUGUAUAUAUAGAGCUUUCUAUGUGGUUCAUAUUAUAUGUGGUUCAUAUUUCUAUUGGACAGUGUUGAUGUGGAUUAAUCACGGGGGCCAUCAGUCACCCUGUCCUGUCACAGGCUCAGUGUGCCAGUCUUGGCCUCACCUCAGGGUAUGCACUGAGUGAGGACUCUGGUAACUUGGGGAUGUAGAGGAUGCAUUGUGUACACCAUGGUUCCUCAGGUGGCAUCUGUACCUUGGGAAGGCUGAUUCCCUGUACAUGUCCUCAUGGAUCGAAUAGAGAGACUGGUGUUCAUGGGUCUGAGGGCUAGAAGGAGGCUGCAGGUGAUGAAGAGAGGACGGGUGACCCACAGGUCCCCAUCUGUAUUAGUUCUUAUAAUCAUAUAACACCAUAUAAUUAGCUGUAUGUGGACAGUGUCUGAUCACCUUCUUCUAAACCUGGGCUGGUCUCUUCCCUUUGAUCCUGACAUUUUUUAGGAUGCAGCUUAGUGGCAAAGGACUUUAUUUUUGUUAUUAUAUUUAUAUUAAAUCAAUCAAUCAUCAAUCAAUAUGCGUCUAUAUGUGUGUUUCAUGGCACUCAUGUGGAGAUCAGAGGAUAACACUCUGGAAUCGGUUCUUUCCUUCACUGUGUGUGUUUCAGGGCAUAGGCAUCAGGCCUAAGAUCCAUCUUGAUGACCCUGGGAUAGAUCUUUUAGAUUUGGUCAGUUUCAAGUUCAAAUCCAAGGCCCCUUGGUCAGCAGAGCUUGGGGGAUCUACUUGGAUUCUCUAUAUCCUGGUUAGUUUUCUUCUAUAAAAUGAGGAGCAUCCCACCCUUCCUAAUACAUGGCAGUGAGACUGGAAGAAGACCAUAAAUGGCAACACUCAGCCUGCGACCUGGCACAGCUAGAUGUUUGUUGAGUACUCAUUAGCAACAUCAGCAUCAGGACGCUCCCAUUGGUGAGUACUCACAGCAACAUCAUUAUCAGGACGCUCCCAUUGGUGAGUACUCACAGCAACAUCAUUAUCAGGACGCUCCCAUUGGUGAGUACUCAUAGCAACAUCAGCAUCAGGAUGCUCCCAUUGGUGAGUACUCACAGCAACAUCAUUAUCAGGACGCUCCCAUUGGUGAGUACUCAUAGCAACAUCAGCAUCAGGACGCUGCCAUUGGUGAGUACUCACAGGAACAUCAGCAUCAGGACGCUCCUAUUGGUGAGUACUCAUAGCAACAUCAGCAUCAGGACGCUGCCAUUGGUGAGUACUCACAGCAACAUCAUUAUCAGGACGCUCCCAUUGGUGAGUACUCAUAGCAACAUCAGCAUCAGGACGCUGCCAUUGGUGAGUACUCAUAGCAACAUCAGCAUCAGGACGCUCCCAUUGGUGAGUACUCACAGCAACAUCAUUAUCAGGACGCUGCCAUUGGUGAGUACUCACAGCAACAUCAGCAUCAGGACGCUCCCACUAGUCAGUACUCAUAGCAACAUCAUUAUCAGGACGCUCCCACUGGUGAGUACUCAUAGCAACAUCAGCAUCAGGAUGCUCCCAUUGGUGAGUACUCACAGCAACAUCAUUAUCAGGACGCUCCCAUUGGUGAGUACUCAU
rnacentral:sRNA from 1 species